rnacentral:tRNA from 1 species
GGACGGUUAGCUCAGUUGGUUAGAGCGCUGCAUUCACAUUGCAGAGGUCACUGGUUCGAGUCCAGUACCGUCCA